rnacentral:rRNA from 1 species
ACGAACGCUGGCGGCGUGCCUAAUACAUGCAAGUAGAACGCUGAAGGAGGAGCUUGCUUCUCUGGAUGAGUUGCGAACGGGUGAGUAACGCGUAGGUAACCUGCCUGGUAGCGGGGGAUAACUAUUGGAAACGAUAGCUAAUACCGCAUAAGAGUAGAUGUUGCAUGACAUUUGCUUAAAAGGUGCAAUUGCAUCACUACCAGAUGGACCUGCGUUGUAUUAGCUAGUUGGUGAGGUAACGGCUCACCAAGGCGACGAUACAUAGCCGACCUGAGAGGGUGAUCGGCCACACUGGGACUGAGACACGGCCCAGACUCCUACGGGAGGCAGCAGUAGGGAAUCUUCGGCAAUGGACGGAAGUCUGACCGAGCACGCCGCGUGAGUGAAGAAGGUUUUCGGAUCGUAAAGCUCUGUUGUAAGAGAAGAACGAGUGUGAGAGUGGAAAGUUCACACUGUGACGGUAUCUUACCAGAAAGGGACGGCUAACUACGUG